rnacentral:rRNA from 1 species
AUUGAACGCUGGCGGCAGGCCUAACACAUGCAAGUCGAGCGGAUGAAGGGAGCUUGCUCCUGGCUUCAGCGGCGGACGGGUGAGUAAUGCCUAGGAAUCUGCCUGGUAGUGGGGGAUAACGUCCGGAAACGGGCGCUAAUACCGCAUACGUCCUGAGGGAGAAAGUGGGGGAUCUUCGGACCUCGCGCUAUCAGAUGAGCCUAGGUCGGAUUAGCUAGUUGGUGGGGUAAAGGCCUACCAAGGCGACGAUCCGUAACUGGUCUGAGAGGAUGAUCAGUCACACUGGAACUGAGACACGGUCCAGGCUCCUACGGGAGGCAGCAGUGGGGAAGAUUGGACAAUGGGCGGAAGCCUGAUCCAGCCAUGCCGCGUGUGUGAAGAAGGUCUUCGGAUUGUAAAGCACUUUAAGUGGGGAGGAAGGGCAGUAAGUUAAUACCUGGCUGUUUUGACGUUACCAACAGAAGAAGCACCGGCUAACUUCGUG